GUGCCUCUGCCACUACAUAGUGACCAUGCGCUACUUCGAGAUGGUCAUCCUCGUGGUCAUUGCCCUGAGUAGCAUUGCUCUGGCUGCAGAGGACCCUGUGCGGACAGACUCUCCCAGGAACAAUGCUCUGAAGUACAUGGACUACAUCUUCACAGGUGUCUUCACCUUUGAGAUGGUGAUAAAGAUGAUUGACUUGGGACUGCUCCUUCACCCUGGAGCCUACUUCCGGGACCUGUGGAACAUUC